CAUGCCAGCCUGUUUGUGCUGGAGAUGGUGAUGGUGAUGAUUUCUUGUCUGGGUGGAAGCAGGCUCAGCGAGGCCCAGGGACACUUCCCUUUGCCCGCCCACCCAUGUAUUUGAGCAGAAAAGGUACUCUUGCUAAGACAGCCCUGCUUCUCUGCAGGUUUCCUCUUACACAUGGAUUCUAUUCAUUCACCGUUUAUUGAGCUCUGUGCCAGGCACUGUGCUAGAUGCCGGAGCUCCUGCGUAGAAGACCGAUACCAAAGCCCAGCUGCAGCAGAACUAACACAUCUACUCCCAACAUUGAGCCCUCCACUUGCCUGGGCGACCACCACCGAGGAUGGGAAAGGAUGACAUUGGAAGGGAAUUUGCAGCCCUCCUGAUCUCCAGAUGAAGAGCUUAUGGAUAUGAAAAGGCUUUCCCAAAGAAGCCAUGGAGUAGAAUCCAGGUCUCCCAGUUCGUGAUCAGUCUUCCAUCUCCCUGGUGGGCCAGAGAUAUUUCAAGUUGGCAGAGUCAAGCAUGAGCAAGGAGAUGGUGUGGGGCAGAGUGUGAACCAUAUAUUCCUAGACCCCAGGUAUGGCUGUC
rnacentral:lncRNA from 10 species